ensembl:lncRNA
CGGUGACACUAAAAGAAGAGGAGGCGUCUGAGGACAGCAGUGCCCAGCCCAGGGUUCUGACAUGGAUUUCCCACAGCCUGGCCCACGCUCUCCCCCAGCCGGCAGGACUCGCCAAGCCUGAUAACAAGGUGCGUUCAGCCCCCAUGGCUCAAGGUGUUGCACUGUACUAGCUAACACAGAGAGAGAGAGAGAGAGAGAGAGAGAGAGAGAUGCAAUCCCAACUGUGACAAUGAUAUCAUGUUUCUUUCUUUAUGUUCAGGAAGAAAAUGAGAAAAUCAGGUAACAUUCCUCUGUGUGUGUGUGUGUGUGUGUGUGUGUGUGUGCGCGCGCGCGCGCGUGCGUGCGCGCGUGCGUGCGUGCGUGUGUAGCCUAUAUUUGUCCGUUUUGUGCACAUCUAAACAUAGUCAAUGUGAUUAUUAGUACAGUCCGUGAUUAUCUCUGUAUGAGUUACAUGUCUUUUAUCUCUGGAAAAACAGCAAUCCGGAGCCAAAGUAAGUAAUUAUGCGGAGCAAAAGCUUUUACAUUAGCGCUACAGUAUACCAGGCAAAACUAUAGGUCUAAAUAGCAGAGCCGUUCAGAAAUCCAAGCGAUCAUCAAUCACACUGAUACAUACUGUAAAAAAAGUUAGUCUAAACACUCAUCAGUGAAUGUAAGCAAACCAUUGUUACAUUAUUGGUGCUUUCGGCUUUUAGUGUCAGCAUGGGGGCAAUCCUUUAUCCUUAGGCCAAUGUCCAUAGUAGGCAAUACUAUGCGCAGGGUUUGUAUUUUGGCACUCUCCCUUAUACCUUGUUUGUUUUGGGGGCUCAAAUUCACACAGAAUCACAUAGGCUUCACGUUUGGCUACUAAGCUUUUUUCACUACUGCCACUACUGCUUUUGCUUGACCCUACAGCGCCCUCUAGUGUACAGCAUCUGAGGGAUUCUUGUUCAUCACGGAAAUGUUCUUGGUUAUCCCGUUUUUUACAGUCAAGGUGUGAUGGGCUGGAUUGUCCAAGGGAUUGAAAAAGUGGUGCCGCAGCCAGAUGAGAAGUACAAGAAGCAGCCAGAGCAAGAGGACGACGUGACGGAGGUGCAUUACGUCGCAGAUGUACCAGAUGCUGAGCCUCUCGCCCACAUCCCCGUGGUGGAGGUGGAAUCUGAGCCAGAGGAGGAGGAGGAAAAGCCUCUCCAACUGCAGCCCAGGAUGAUGGAGUGGCUGAAGCAAGGCAUCGAGAAGGUGGUUCCCCGUCCCGAGAUCUACAUCCACGUCCCCCACGAAGGCGCGGCCCAGAGUCAAAAGAAAGCUGAGGAGGCUCCAGCUCCGGCGGGCGACACGGAGAAUGUGGUAGGCUGGAUCGUUGGAGGCAUUGGUCGCAUGCUGCCCCAACCUGUGCUGAAGAAGGACAACAACGAUGGAGUGGAGAACAUCAUCAUAGUCCAGGACCCAUCAGACAUGGUCCUGGAGGAGGUGGACCCAGACUGGGACAAGAAGGAGCGGGUCCAGCAGCCCCCCCAGGAGAACCAGGAGUUGCCGGCGGAAGAUGCGGGGACACAGACUGGCACCAUCGAGGGCCAGGCGGAGCAGUCCAUGUUGGCCCAGAUGGAGGAGCGGCUGCAGCGGGAGCGCCUGGAGGCGGCCCGCAUUGCGGAGGACAUGGCCUGGAGGGCGGCCGAGGCGGCGGUGAGGCAGCUGGAGGAGGAGCAGCGCACCGCCAUCAUCGUGGAGGACCCGCCUCCGGAGGCCAGCGAACAACUGCCCAACAUCCUGGAAGAGGAGAACGAAGACGAACCAGAGUAAGUCAGAUUUUCCUUCAUUAGCCUAUGCCUCACGCCCAGGCACCUCUCUCUCCCCCCCCUCCCCGUUGUCUUUCCUGGGCUAAAAUCUGGCCCACUUCUUCCAAGAGGCACCGAUGUAAACACAGCCAAUGCAACUUCCUGCAAUCACUUGUUAAACCGAAGCUAUGCGUCCAGCUUUCCCGGGGCCCGGGGCUGUGUUCUGCUUGGCCGCGUAGUGCUAGGCUCGUACUGGAAUCAAUUACACCAAACACAGCAAGCAAAGUACUAUCAAUAACUGUUCACCAAAUCGUGUUUCUAAUCAACGUUUGUGCACCAUGCUGUUAGAGAACCGUACACUCCAGUUUAUGAAGGCAUUAAUAACUGCCACAUUCCCCUGUGACCGUUAGUCUUUCUCCUCCCCCAUAGAGUGGCAGUAAAGGGUGCCAGCGAGCUCCUCAGAGAGCCAGCACAGGGAGCCAGAGAGAUAAACAUGGUGGAGAUUAGCAGGACACCGAUGGCCUAAGAGCACCACUAGGGGGCGCCACUGGGUUGAAGCUGAAUUUAAUGGUGGUUGCGGUUGAUUAGUGACUGGUGAUAGAAGAGAGAAAGCUAUUUGUAGAGGGUCGCAGCGACAAAGAGAAAUGAGGCAACUCAAAUCAGUGUCAACGGAAAUAGACCCAUUGCAAAAACUCCCUCUUUCCCAUCCAUUAGCAGCAUUAACAAAGGCCAUUGUGUACCUCACUAGAGCGUCAUCUGACGAUGUGCCCUCAACUAACUGGUGAGAGACUGCUCGCCAAAAGCUAUGCCAAGCAACUGUAUCCGCGCCUUAAAUGGUCAUGAAACCUUACAUUUCUCAUGGAUUUCAGUAAUUUUUACACUCAUAUUUAAUCACAUCUUAUACUCCACGUACAUCAUGAUCGUUUAAAAAAGUAACUUAAUGAAUGAG